CGGUAAAGGAGGCCGUGUAGAAGACCUUUGGUCAAUGGAAUAAAACGGAAAAAUGUAUCAACCGAACCAAAGCGUGGAAGUCUGUUUUCUCUACACCUGCUGAACGCCAGGUACCACAUACCUUCAUUAAAAUCAGAACUGCUACAGCAGAUCGCACGAAUCUUCCAGGAGAAAAAAACAAAACUCAGCAACAGAAUCUGCUUUUCUCUUUUCCUGCCUGGAAAAGACAAGAAACAGGAGAGGUGACAAAAAGGUGACAUGUGGCCUGAGUUCCUCCUGUGUGAAGGAAAAACAUCACAUUCAACCACAUCCCUGCAUCAAGAAGAGUGUGUUCUGUCUGUUUUCAUUCGGUAAGUUUGUGUGUGUGCGCGCAUGUGUGUGUCUGUGUGUGUUUUCAAAGCAACCUCAUGUCAAUUCAGAACCAGGCCAAAAAAACACAACCCGAUGGCCAAUAGAAUCAUCCUAAUGCCAAAAUGAAACACAAUUUCCACCUUGUUUUACCUAUCCAAGUUUCAAGUGUUAAUAUCUAUAUAUUUUUACACUCACUGAACACUUAUUAGG
ensembl:lncRNA